UUGGAGAAAGGUAGAGUUUUAUGGAGAAAAUAUUCAAGUUUGAAACACAUUGAUUCCUUAAACCAUUUAUGAGGAUAAUAUUUAGAUAAAUUCAAUACCUGCUGCUAAUAAACUUAUCUGGGGCAUGGUUUGUAGCAAGAGUUAAAACCAAUAAUGAGUUUGAUUUUAACACAUGGUGUUCCAAUCUUGUGAGAUGUUUGCAAAGUGUGUAGAUAUUCAUUUAAAUCUGGAUGGAGGAAGGUACAUAGUCCUACAAAACCAGUAGGAAC
rnacentral:lncRNA from 1 species